rnacentral:rRNA from 1 species
GACGAACGCUGGCGGCGUGCCUAAUACAUGCAAGUCGAACGAGAUGCGAACGGGUGAGUAAUGUCUGGGAAAGUGCAUGUUGGCGGGGGAUAACUACUGGAAACGGUAGCUAAUACUGCAUACAAUCAGAUGUGCCCAGAUGGGAUUAGCUAGUUGGUGGGGUAACGGCGCACAAAGGCGACGAUCCCUAGCUGGUCUGAGAGGAUGAGCAGCCACACUGGAACUGAGACACGGUCCAGACUCCUACGGGAGGCAGCAGUGGGGAAUAUUGCACAAUGGGCACAAGCCUGAUGCAGCCAUGCCGCGUGUAUGAAGAAGGCCUUCGGGUUGUAAAGUACUUUCAGCGGGGAGGCGUUACCCGCAGAAGAAGCACCGGCUAACUCCGUGCCAGCAGCCGCGGUAAUAC